UACAGAGGUCCCAAGCGUUGUUCGGAUUCACUGGGCGUAAAGGGUGCGUAGGUGGUUAGGUAAGUCCGAUGUGAAAUCUCCAGGCUCAACCUGGAAAUGGCAUUGGAUACUAUCUAGCUUGAGGAGUGGAGGGGGGACUGGAAUUUUCGGUGUAGCAGUGAAAUGCGUAGAUAUCGAGAGGAACACCAGUGGCGAAGGCGAGUCCCUGGGCCAAAACUGACGCUGAGGAGCGAAAGCGUGGGGAGCGAACAGG
rnacentral:rRNA from 1 species